rnacentral:lncRNA from 1 species
UGUAGAUAGUAUUAAUAAGGUGGUGAUGUAUGAAAUUUGAACUGGUAUGUCGCAAGACCUGUGGAUCAAGGCCAGUUUUCCAAUAAAUUUACCAACAAAGUGCUGAAGCUUGUUUACUGCGCUGAAUCAAGUGGGGAAAGAUAUAAGUAGGUAGAGAAUGGUUUGAUUAUUGCGGCUACUCUCUCAAUGACCGGGGUCAAUUCUAAUUGACAUAGAUGUUAUAACGCGAAAUGUCUACCUACCAAGCAUUUUAACUUUUAAUUACCGGUAUUUUUCUUUAAUUUUCUUUCGGGUUUUGGUUAUUUAAGGGACAUGCGUGCUAUGAAGAGAAGAAAGGUAAAUAAAAAAGAUGUAAAAGUGACAUAUGGAUGCGUUCAAUAUGUUAUUAGUUAUAAGUAGACAACUAU